UAAAGCGCGCGUAGGUGGUUUGUUAAGUUGGAUGUGAAAUCCCCGGGCUCAACCUGGGAACUGCAUCCAAAACUGGCAAGCUAGAGUAUGGUAGAGGGUGGUGGAAUUUCCUGUGUAGCGGUGAAAUGCGUAGAUAUAGGAAGGAACACCAGUGGCGAAGGCGACCACCUGGACUGAUACUGACACUGAGGUGCGAAAGCGUGGGGAGCAAACAGGAUUAGAUACCCGGU
rnacentral:rRNA from 1 species